CCCCAAUGAUGUCCCCAAUGUCCCCUGUGAUGUCCCCAGGCUCGGAGCACAGCUGGCAGUGUGUCUGCAAUGUCCCCUGUGAUGUCCCCAAUGUCCCCUGGGUGUCCCCAGUGAUGUCCCCAAUGUCCCCACUGAUGUCCCCAAUGUCCCCACUGAUGUCCCCAAUGUCCCCAGGCUCGGAGCACAGCUGGCAGUGUGUCUGCACCCUGUCCGGGUACCACGGCCGCAGCAUCUACGACGUGGCCUGGUGAGCACCGGGGACAUCUGGGGACACCCCCCUGGGGCCCUCCAGAUGCCACCACGCUGGUGGCCCCUCCAAGUGCCACCUCCCCAGGGCCUUGUGCCCCACAGGUGCCACCUGUCCCGUACCUGUCCCCAUCCCUGCCCAGGUGCCACCCGUCCCUGUCCCCUCCAUGGCGCUGGGUGUCACCCAUCCCCAUCCCUGUCACCUCCAUGACUCCAGGUGCCACCUGACCCUGUCCCUGUCCCCUCCAUGGCCCCAGGUGCCACCUGUCUCCAUCCCCAUCCCUGCCCAGGUGCCACCUGACCCUGUCCCUGUCCCUGUGCCCUCCAUGGCGCUGGGUGUCACCCAUCCCAAUCCCUGUCCCCUGUCCUCGUGCCCUCCAUGAUGCCAGGUGCCACCUGUCCCCAUCCCCAUCCCUGCCCAGGUGCCACCUGUCCCUGUCCCUGUCCCUGUCCCUUCCAUGGCCUCAGGUGCCACCCAUCCCUAUCCCUGCCCAGGUGCCACCUGUCCCUGUCCCCAUCCCCAUCCCUAUCCAGAUGCCACCUGUACCUGUCCCUGUCCCCAUCCCUGUCCCCUCCAUGACUCCACGUGCCACCCAUCCCCAUCCCUGUCCCUGUCCCCUGUCCCCUCCAUGGUCCCAGGUGCCACCUGUCCCCAUCCCUGUCCCCAUCCCUGUCCCCUCCAUGUCCCCUCCAUGUCCCCGUCCCUGUCCCUGUCCCCAUCCCCAUCCCUGCCCAGGUGCCACCUGUCCCCAUCCCCGUCCCCGUGCCCUCGGUGGCCCCAGGUGCCAGCCGUCCCCGUCCGGUGCCCGCAGGUGCCGCCUGUCCCCAUCCCCGUCCCCGUGCCCUCGGUGGCCCCAGGUGCCAGCCGUCCCCGUCCGGUGCCCGCAGGUGCCACCUGACGGGCGCGGUGGCCACGGCGUGCGGCGACGACGCCGUGCGGGUGUUCGAGGAGGCGGCCCCGGCGGCGCCGGGCUGGCCGGUGACCUUCGGGCUGGCGGCGCAGGCGCGGCGGGCGCACGCCCAGGACGCCAACGGCGUGGCCUGGCACCCGCGGGAGCCGGGGCUGCUGGCGUCCUGCGGCGACGACGGCACCGUCGCCUUCUGGCGCUACCAGCGCCCCGACGGCCUCUGAGGGACGCCGGGACCUCCGGAGGGCUCCAGGACCUCCCCGGGAC
rnacentral:lncRNA from 1 species